AGUAGACAUUAACAGGUAUACAAUAUCUGAAAUGAGUGAAACAGUAUGUCUUAAUGACAAAGUGUAGGGUUUUUUUUACUCCCAUGUUACAAUAUUAAUCCACAUUGUUAGAACUCAACUAAAACUCCUUGUCUUUUUCAUAUAAGCUGCUGUUAAGUCAGACUUGUCUCCAUUCUAUGUUCCAUUCCAUACACAGUUGAAUUUUUUAACCAAAGGGCAUUUGUAUACUUAUCAUCUUUAAUCUUAUUAGAUUUAGUCUGUGGUUCCAAUAAGUCAAUAUCUUUUUGGAUCUUGAUUCAAAAAUUCCAAAUCAACAAAUACUUAACUUUGGGAUGUUUUUUGUAGGGAAGUAGCUGUUAUCAAAAUGAAAUUGUGUCAAAAAAUAAAUAAAAAAAUUUAAAAAACCAAAUAUUUAAGCAACCAUUAAUAAUAGGUACUUAAAUACCCUGUACUGGGUACUGGGGGUGCAAAGACCAAAAAAAAUAGUCCUUUCCCUAAAAGAGUUUACAUUCUACUGGAGAAAUACAACAUGUGCAUAAGUCAUAUAUACAGAGUACAUUCAAAGGUAAUUUCAAAAGGGAGAGGGCACUGAGGGGAAUCAGGAAAGGCCUUGUGUAAGAGAAGGUACCUAAGAUGUGCUUUGGAGGAAAUUUAGGGAUUCUAUAAGGUAAGGUGAGAAGGAAAUCCUUUCCAGGUAUCAGAAAACAACACCUGUACUAAGGAAGAUAGGAGAUGGAGUAUCAUUAAUAAGGAUCAGCUAGCAGGUAAAUGUUACUGAAAUGGAGAUUGCAUGAAAAGGGAUCAUCUGAAAUAAAACCAGAAAGGCAGGCCCAGGUCAUAGUGUGGAGUGCUUUAAAUGCCAGCUUAAGAGAUCUAAGCAACAGGGAGUCACUGAACAUUUUUGAAUAGGAGAGUGAAGUGGUUGAUGAGCGGGGUUGUUUGGGGUUUUUUUGGGGAAUAUUAAUUUUACAGCUGUCAAAAGUCAUUGAGCAUUUAUUAAGUGUUGCUUACUAUAUGUAUCAGGUAGUAUGGGGGGAACAGAUUGGAGAGAAGAGAAUGGAAGGAGCAGGGAACAAAUUAGAAGGCUAUUUAAGUAGUUCUGGGAAAGGUAAUGAGAUGUAAGAGAUGUUGUGAGGGUAGAAUAUAUCAGUUGACAACUCAUAUAUGGGAUGAGGAAAUAGUCAAGGAUGAUGUCAAGUUUUUAAACACAAGUGACUGGAGGCAUGGUGGUGCCUUCAGUGGAAAUGGGCAUCCUAGGAGGAGAAAUAUUGAUUCUGAUUUGGAUGUGUUGAAUUUGAGAUGAUAUUGUGUGACAUUUAUAUAGUACUUUAACGUUUACAAAACAACAUAUACAUAUUCAUUUGAUUUUCUCAACAACAAUGAGAAGUAGGCCUUACAAGGAAGAUUAUACCCGUUUUAUAGGCAAGAAGAUAAGUGACUUGCGUUUGGUUACACAGCUAAUAAGUGUCUGAGAAGAGAUUUGAACUCAUAUCUUCCCAAAUCUAAGUGCCACAAACUAACCAUUAUACCGUACUUACCUGUCAAAGAUGCUACAAGUCAUAAAGGCCUGUGAUGUAGGAAGAUUUCCCUCUGCCAUUCAAGAUUUAGCUGCUGCUUGGCACAAUAAAAUCGCCACCUAUGAAGAAUUACACCCCAACCGUGAAGCAGAGAGCUGACCUCGCCUGUCUUCUACCAAAGAUAAGCAAACAGACACAGAGAAGUGACUUCCCAUAGACCACAUUGGUAGUGAGCAUGCACGUAAGUCAAGAAGUAAAUCACUGGUG